GGUUGACCUGCACCGACUUCACAGCCGUGUAGUUGGCCAGCGCGUACUCGCCCAGCUCGCGACCAAUACCCGACUGCUUGUACCCGCCGAACGGCACGUUGGGGUAGAGCAUGUUCGCCGCGUUGACCCAGACGGUGCCGGCCUUGAUCUUGUGCGCGGUGCCGAGCGCGCGCGAGAUGUUCUGCGAGAACACGGCGGCGGCGAGGCCGUACACGGUGUCGUUCGCCUGCCG
rnacentral:misc_RNA from 1 species